GACGAACGCUGGCGGCGUGCUUAACACAUGCAAGUCGAACGGAAAGGCCCUGCUUUUGUGGGGUGCUCGAGUGGCGAACGGGUGAGUAACACGUGAGUAACCUGCCCUUGACUUUGGGAUAACUUCAGGAAACUGGGGCUAAUACCGGAUAGGAGCUCCUGCUGCAUGGUGGGGGUUGGAAAGUUUCGGCGGUUGGGGAUGGACUCGCGGCUUAUCAGCUUGUUGGUGGGGUAGUGCCUUACCAAGGCUUUGACGGGUAGCCGGCCUGAGAGGGUGACCGGCCACAUUGGGACUGCGAUACGGCCCAGACUCCUACGGGAGGCAGCAGUGGGGAAUAUUGCACAAUGGGCGGAAGCCUGAUGCAGCAACGCCGCGUGCGUGAUGACGGCCUUCGGGUUGUAAACCGCUUUCGCCUGUGACGAAGCGUGAGUGACGGUAAUGGGUAAAGAAGCACCGGCUAACUACGUG
rnacentral:rRNA from 1 species